rnacentral:lncRNA from 1 species
CGUUGGUGUACAUGUAUGCUUCUGUGUAUGAAUGUGCAUGACUGUGUGCCUUUGUGUGUGCACAACUAUGUAAACAUGUAAGCACCAUGUGCAUGCUGGUGGUAAGCUGAGAGGACAACUUAGGGGAGCCAGUUCUCUCCUUCAACCUUGCUGGUCCUAGAAUUGAACGUAGGUUGUAAAGCUUCCUGCAAGAGACCUCAGAGGCUGCGCUGUCUCCCAGACUUUUCUUUUGACCUUUGCAAGUGGCUCUUCAGAAUUUCUCUUUUCCUGUGGAUAUGGUAUCAGUGGGUUUCAGUGAAGAUAGGAGGUUGUUGAAAGUGAUCCCUAAAGGAGAAGACACAGCCCGACAAGGGAACACCAAGGUUGGUGAGCAUCUUGGAGCUCAUGUGUGCAUGCUUAUGCGUGUGCAUGUGCGUGUGUGUGUUUAGCUAAGAUGAUAUGCAGAGCGUUCUGUAGUCUCUCAUCUCCAUGUAACAAUUACAUCCCCUGGGUACCGUCUCAGGCAGAGAAGGGGAGUGGCUUGACAAUCAAAGAGAGAUUGGCUGCAUAUCUAGCCCCUGAAUUGG